UACGAAGGGUGCAAGCGUUAAUCGGAAUUACUGGGCGUAAAGCGCGCGUAGGUGGUUUGUUAAGUUGAAUGUGAAAGCCCCCGGGCUCAACCUGGGAACUGCAUCCAAAACUGGCAAGCUAGAGUAUGGCAGAGGGUGGUGGAAUUUCCUGUGUAGCGGUGAAAUGCGUAGAUAUAGGAAGGAACACCAGUGGCGAAGGCGACCACCUGGGCUAAUACUGACACUGAGGUGCGAAAGCGUGGGGAGCAAACAGGAUUAGAUACCCGCGUAGU
rnacentral:rRNA from 1 species